rnacentral:rRNA from 1 species
CGGCGGACAGGUGAGUAACACGUGGGUAACCUACCUAUAAGACUGGGACAACUUCGGGAAACCGGAGCUAAUACCGGAUAAGAUAUCGAACCGCAUGGUUCGAUAGUGAAAGAUGGUUUUGCUAUCACUUAUAGAUGGACCCGCGCCGUAUUAGCUAGUUGGUGAGGUAACGGCUCACCAAGGCAACGAUACGUAGCCGACCUGAGAGGGUGAUCGGCCACACUGGAACUGAGACACGGUCCAGACUCCUACGGGAGGCAGCAGAG